rnacentral:rRNA from 1 species
GAUGAACGCUGGCGGCGUGCCUAAUACAUGCAAGUCGAGCGAACAGACGAGGAGCUUGCUCCUCUGACGUUAGCGGCGGACGGGUGAGUAACACGUGGAUAACCUACCUAUAAGACUGGGAUAACUUCGGGAAACCGGAGCUAAUACCGGAUAACAUGUUGAACCGCAUGGUUCAACAGUGAAAGACGGUCUUGCUGUCACUUAUAGAUGGAUCCGCGCCGCAUUAGCUAGUUGGUAAGGUAACGGCUUACCAAGGCAACGAUGCGUAGCCGACCUGAGAGGGUGAUCAGCCACACUGGAACUGAGACACGGGCCAGACUCCUACGGGAGGCAGCAGUAGGGAAUCUUCCGCAAUGGGCGAAAGCCUGACGGAGCAACGCCGCGUGAGUGAAGAAGGUCUUCGGAUCGUAAAACUCUGUUAUUAGGGAAGAACAAAUGUGUAAGUAACUAUGCACGUCUUGACGGUACCUAAUCAGAAAGCCCCGGCUAACUACGUG